GAAUCCCGGUAGGGGCCGCACGCAUGCGCUGCCGGAAAAACUGGGCGGGAGGAAGCGAGUGCGUUUUCCUCGCCGGCGGCGCCAUUUUGUGUUCAGAGCCGCUACUGCCGCCGGCGGUGUGAGGAGUAGGUGGCGGAGACGGGGUGCCCGGGAUGGCGGAGUCUCCGGCAGGGUCCGGUGACUCGGGUUCUGGCACGGCCAGUGUCGUCUCGGGCGCUUCAGAAGCCGGGACGCGGCGGCUCAGCGAUCUGCGGGUGAUCGAUCUGCGGGCGGAGCUGAAGAAGCGGAACCUGGACACGGGUGGCAACAAGAGCGUCCUGAUGGAGCGACUCAAGAAGGCUGUGAAGGAAGAAGGGCAGGGGCCUGAUGAAAUUGGCAUCGCCUUGGAAGCCACAAGCAAGAAGACAACAAAGAGAUGCCUUAAAGGACAAAAGAUGGAGGAGGAAGGCACAGAAGACAAUGGCUUGGAAGAAGAUUCCAGAGAUGGACAGGAGGAUAUGGAAGCAAGUUUGGAGAGCUUGCAGAACAUUGACAUGAUGGAUGUUAGUGUGUUAGAAGAAACCGAAGUCGAGAAUAGCAGUGCUCCAGACUUCGGGGAGGAUGGCACUGACAGCAUUCUCGAGUCCCUUUGUGAGAGCAAAGACUACGUGGCCGAGCAACUAAGGGAGCUCCCUGCUCAGUUCACAGGACAUGCUGUAGAUGGGGAAGGUUUUGAGAACACUUUGGAUGCUUCGUCGUUGGACUUCAAAGUACCUCCGGAUAUUGAAGAACAGCCUCUAUUGGAGCCAGGUACUGAUAAGAGAAACACGACAGUUAUGGUUUGAAAGUUUUCUCGCUCUUUUUUUCAAGCUGUGUAUAUAUUUUAAGCUGUGUUAUGGUCUUGUAAAUUAUUUUAAUGGUGGACAAUCCAGAUCGUACAAGGAUCAGAGAUUGGAAACCCAUUCGUAUCACCAGAUCUGUGGAAAUGCUGUUCUGGUUUCUGGAGGUCAAAUAUAUUUGUGAGAUGUAGUGAUUAUUUUCAUCUCUCUAACCACACAGAGUGGCAUAUAAGUAAUUUCCCCCACUCCUUCGUGAUUCUUCCAUGUGUUUCUACACAUGAAACAGAUCUUGUGAUAUUUGCUGCAGUCAUUUUGAUUAAUGCAGUUAAGGCAGGAUAAAGCAGUGGUCAGGGCACUUACAACCUAAGAAGUGACUGGAUUCCAGAAGAGGAAACAGAGUUUCUUCAUGAAAAUUUCCAACUUAUUGUUCCCCUUCUGGACUGCGUUUAUCUCCUGCUGGCGGAAGAGUGUCUGCUUUUCCUAUUGGACUUUACUGUUAAAAGAAUUGCAAAGAAAUUUGGAAAUUGAGCCGUUCAGUGAAUGGUGAUUGCAUUCGAUUCAGCACCUUGGACGUUGGAAAAAUAAGCUGAAGACCCAGACUUGAACAGAAACACAUGAAGAAGACUGUUGAAGCAACCACGUGGUUGUAGGUGUUUAAAAUCUGUGGGGGCCUUUUCUCUUCCAUGUAGCGUAGAGGCUUACUCUAGCAGUCGGUUGGAGCGCAGGUAGUGUAACCAGUGUAAGUUUGUGUACCCGCGGGUUUUCCAAUCUCUGUGUAGCUAGCAGUUCUCUUCGUGUUAGUGUGGCAGCCGUGCCAGUUCCGCAUUUGUGAUUGCUUUAUUUCCCUGGUAAUUAAACCUUGUGCCAUUCUAUUCCUGUUAAAUCCGUAGAAAAUGAGAAAAUACUCGACAUUUUGGGGGAAACUUGUAAAUCUGAGCCAGUAAAAGAAGAAGGUUCCGAGCUGGAGCAGCCAUUUGCACAGGAUACAAGUAGCGUGGGGCCAGACAGAAAGCUUGCGGAGGAAGAGGACCUUUUUGGCAGCGCCCAUCCGGAGGAGGGUGAUUUAGAUUUGGCCAGCGAGUCAACAGCACAAGCUCAGUCGAGCAAGGCAGACACCCUGUUAGCGGUAGUGAAAAGGGAGCCCGUGGAGCAGACAGGCGAUGGCGAGAGGACGGACUGUGAGCCUGUAGGGCUAGAGAAGCCAGUUGAGCAGAGUAGUAAAGCCUCAGAGCACGCGGAAGCCUGUAGCGAGGAGGCCGCGGAAGCGCCCCCGGAAGCCUCAAGCCCAGAGCCCAGGGAUAGCAAAGAAGACGUGAAGAAGUUUGCUUUUGAAGCUUGUAAUGAAGUCCCUCCGGCUCCUAAAGAGUCCUCAGCCAGUGAGGGCGCUGAUCAGAAAAUGAGGUUUGUUUUUUCUCAGUUUUAGACCAGACGCUAUCUCCUUUUCAUUGGUCGUUUAAUGACACACAUAAGCUGUUUUUUCUGCAAUUGGCCAGCCAGACUGAUGCAAUUGUAGUUUACUUCUAAAGAAUGUUUUAUUUCUCUUUGUGUAUUUUUAAUGGGUGAUUUCAAUUCCUUUUGUUUUUCUCAACCUACUAUGGUUGUGGUCUUAAAUUGUUAAGUGUUAUCAUCUUCAGCUAAAUCGAAUUGACUUUUAAGAAUCUGACAUUGUAUUUUGGGGGUCAGAUUUCCAAUAUAAGCUUGUAAAGGUGCCUGUUAAAAUUCUGUUUCAGACUAAUUUUCUGGUAGGUAUUCAGUUUUAGCACAUACCAUACUUUUGAUUUAGUUCUUUCGUUUUUUUCCUGUAUGAGUAACAUUAACUUUUGUCUCUAGCUCUUUUAAGGAAGAAAAAGAUAUAAAGCCAAUCAUUAAAGAUGAAAAAGGUCGCAUCAGCAGCAGUUCCGGAAGGAACCUGUGGGUCAGUGGACUGUCUUCCACAACUCGAGCGACAGAUCUGAAGAACCUAUUCAGCAAAUAUGGAAAGGUUGUUGGGGCCAAAGUGGUGACCAAUGCCCGCAGCCCUGGGGCUCGGUGCUACGGAUUUGUCACCAUGUCGACAUCCGACGAGGCUACAAAAUGUAUCAGCCAUCUUCACAGAACUGAGCUGCAUGGAAGAAUGAUCUCUGUAGAGAAGGUGAGGCCGUUUUUGGCGCUGUUACUCAACAGAGCUCAUAGAUCAGAAGACCUAGUCCCUGAGCCAUUUUAUCUUUGUUGUAUUUUAGGCCAAAAAUGAACCUGCUGGGAAAAAGCUAUCUGACAGAAAAGAAUGUGAAGUGAAGAAGGAAAAAUUGUCCAAUGUUGACAGACAUCAUUCUGUGGAGAUCAAAAUCGACAAAACCGUAAUUAAGAAGGAAGAGAAGAUUGAGAAAAAGGAGGAAAAAAAGCCUGAAGAGAUUAAAAAGGAAGAAAAAGAUGAAGAUGAGCUGAAACCAGGACCUACAAAUCGCUCCAGAGUCACCAAAUCAGGAAGCAGAGGAAUGGAACGAACAGUCGUGAUGGAUAAAUCGAAAGGGGAGCCUGUCAUUAGUGUGAAAACCACAAGCAGGUCAAAAGAGAGAAGCUCUAAGAGUCAGGAUCGCAAAUCGGAAAGCAAAGAGAAGAGAGACAUCUUGUCAUUUGAUAAAAUCAAAGAGCAAAGGGAACGAGAACGCCAGAGGCAGCGGGAACGGGAAAUCCGAGAGACAGAGAGGCGACGAGAGCGGGAGCAGCGGGAGCGGGAGCAGCGCCUGGAGGCCUUCCACGAGCGGAAGGAGAAGGCGCGGCUGCAACGGGAGCGGCUCCAGCUCGAGUGCCAGCGGCAGCGCCUUGAGCGCGAGCGCAUGGAGCGGGAGCGGCUGGAACGGGAGCGCAUGCGUGUGGAGCGCGAGCGGAGGAAGGAGCAGGAGCGCAUCCACCGCGAGCGUGAGGAGCUGCGGCGCCAACAAGAACAGCUACGUUAUGAGCAAGAGCGGAGGCCAGUACUCCGGAGGCCCUACGACGACGUACGGCGAGAUGACACCUAUUGGCCUGAAGGAAAGCGUAUGGCCAUGGAGGACAGAUACCGCCCGGACUUCCCUCGGCCUGACCACCGCUUCCACGACUUUGAUCAUCGUGACCGGGGCCAGUACCAGGAUCACGUGGCUGACAGCAAUGUUGUAUGGAGCCAUCAGCUGCCAUUGGAAUGAGAUAUUUCCCUUUUGCAGGAGGGAAGGUUCAAGGUCAGUGAUGGGAGAGCGAGAUGGGCAGCACUAUUCAGACGACCGCCACGGCCACGGAGGACCACCAGAGCGCCAUGGCCGGGACUCCCGAGACGGCUGGGGGGGCUACGGCUCUGACAAGAGGAUAAGUGAGGGCCGGGGGCCCCCGCCUCCACCCAGGGGUGGACGUGACUGGGUGGAACAUAAUCCAAGGCUCGAAGAGCAUCAGGAGCGCACCUGGCCAGGCACAGUGGACGCAGGCACGGCGGGCCGGGAGCACUUGCGGUGGCAAGGUGGUGAGAGGGGUCUUUCUGGGCCCUCGGGCCCGGGGCACAUGGCAAAUCGGGGCGGAAUGUCGGGGCGAGGCGGCUUUGCACACAGCGGGCAUUCCCAGGGUCACAUGGUGCCUGCCGGAGGCCUAGACGGUGGAGGACUGGCCGGCCAGGACCGGGGCAGCAGAGUCCCGCACCCCCACCCUCACCCUCACCCAUACCCUCAUUUCACCCGCCGCUACUAGACCCACCCCACUCUGCGUGUCCUGGCUGUUGGACAGAUGGACUGUUGAAUCUCUUAGGGUUACCUUGAACUUGUGGGAUAUUUUAAGAAACAAAAGCAAAUCCUGCCACCAUGUUGUAGCUCAAUACAAUGUGAAUUCACUUUUUUUUAAAAAAAUAAAUGUGUUCUGCCAUUUUUAAGACAAGGUUUCUGUUAACGAGGCAUUCCAUUUUCCAUUAAUAAAAGUUUAUGGUUCGCA